rnacentral:misc_RNA from 1 species
GCAAAUGAAAGAAGCUCGAGAAGUAUGUUCGGUGGGUAGGAAUCAAAUCUUCUAGUCCUACUAAAGGAAUCUACAGCUCUCAUUCCAUCGACAGAUAUGCCAAUGUGUGUAAAAUCAAUUGUUUCCUUCUCAGACUCAAUGAAAUCACCAUACAACAUUGAUUUUAAUGGAGCAGAGAGAGCUGCAAUUCUACCUCGAAUACAGUUGACCUCCUGAUUUUGUAUGCAGAAGUGAACUAUGCCCCCAUCGUUUUCUGAGGUGAGGAAAUUAUUGGCAUCUGAGAUCUGAUUAGGUGGUGGUUGGAGGGGCCCAUGAGAUUGGCAAUGAUCAAAAACUGAUUUGGGAUCAUAGCCGUGUAGCAAAGCAGUUUUGGGGCAUUCAAGUACUCUUCCAAUACAAUCGAAAGGUGAUGAUCCUACCAAUUCAUCCUCUCUCCUCUCAAACCUCAACCAAGCAGACAACACGACCUUGGAAUGGACGUCAACAGCAUGUUGACGAGCAGAUUGAAGACACCUACGUAGCAAUUUUGGAUCACCAAGGGUGUACAACAGAGCAUAUUGUUCUAAAUGAAGCAAAGAUUUAUCGAAAUCUUGUGUCAUCUGAAGUUUGCGGUAAAGGUGAGCUAAGGAUUGAACGAAAUCAAGAGAUUUGAGAGAAAGGUCAAGUGGGGGCUCAAAAGAAUGUGUUUUUGGAAGGCCAUAGGGAAGAAAAGGAGAUUCAGACAAAAUGGAGUCGAUUGUAGGGUAUUGGAGCUUGGAAGAAGUUGGGGAAAUAGUAGGAAAAGGGUUAGCGUUGUAAGCAUGGACUUGAGUAGUCUUACAACGAUCUUUCAGUUUGAAACCACGCAUAGUGACUAUGAGC